AACGAACGCUGGCGGCAUGCCUAACACAUGCAAGUCGAACGAGACCUUCGGGUCUAGUGGCGCACGGGUGCGUAACGCGUGGGAACCUGCCCUUAGGUUCGGAAUAACUCCCCGAAAGGGGUGCUAAUACCGGAUAAUGUCUUCGGACCAAAGAUUUAUCGCCUUUGGAUGGGCCCGCGUUGGAUUAGCUAGUUGGUAGGGUAAAAGCCUACCAAGGCGACGAUCCAUAGCUGGUCUGAGAGGAUGAUCAGCCACACUGGGACUGAGACACGGCCCAGACUCCUACGGGAGGCAGCAGUGGGGAAUAUUGGACAAUGGGCGAAAGCCUGAUCCAGCAAUGCCGCGUGAAUGAUGAAGGCCUUAGGGUUGUAAAGCUCUUUUACCCGGGAUGAUAAUGACAGAACCGGGAGAAUAAGCUCCGGCUAACUCCGU
rnacentral:rRNA from 1 species